ACUUUCUUUAUUCCUCCCAGCGUUUCAUUAUGAUCCUAACAGAGCAUCUAGUACGAUGUGAAACAGGAGGGAUUGAUGUAAUUACACCUUGGUACAAGAACUGUAUAGAGAGGCUGCAGCAAAUCUUCUUACAGCAUCAUCAAAUCAUCCAACAGUACAUGGUGACCUUGGAGAACCUUCUAUUUACAGCAGAAUUGGAUCAUCACAUAUUGGCUGUAUUUCAGCAGUUCUGUGCACUGCAGGCCUAAGUAACUUUUUUUUUUUUUUUUU